GACGAACGCUGGCGGCGUGCCUAAUACAUGCAAUUCGAACGCUUCUUUCCUCCCUAUUGCUUGCACUCAAUUGGAAAGAGUAUUGGCGGACGGUUGAUUAACACGUUUUUAACCUACCCAUCAGAGGGGUAUAACACUUGUAAACAGUUUCUAAUACCGCAUAACAUUUUAUUCCUCAUUUCAUAAUAUUUAAUGUCUCUUUCGGCUUUCUUUUAUGUAUGUACCCGCUGUGCAUUAGCUAGUUGGUGAGGUAACGGCUCACCAAGGCAACGAUGAAUAGACGAAGUGAGAGGGUGAUCGGCCAAACUGGGACUGAGACACGGCACAGACUCCUACGGGAGGCAGCAGUAGGGAAUCUUCGGAAAUGGACGAAAGUCUGACCGAGCAACGCCGCGUGAGUGAAGAAGGUUUUCGGAUCGUAAAACUCUGUUGUUAGAGAAGAACAAGGACGUUAGUAACUGAACGUCGACUGACGGUAUCUAACCAGAAAGCCACGGCUAACUACGUG
rnacentral:rRNA from 1 species